GGCAUAAUCAAGCAAAUAAAUGACAGAAUGCUUUUUAUUUCAUGUCGACGUGCAAUUUAUGUAUAGUUGACCGGGAAAUUAAAGCAGCGAUCACUUGGACUAUUCCGUAGCACCCCUUUCACAGUGGUACAUCCCUCCAGGUAACCAUUCACCAGUCUUGUACAGUAGAGCGGGACAUUACGUUUACUCUCAGCGGAAUUCACCCGAGAAGGCAUCAGUUCCUGCACUGCACUGGUCUUCACCACGAUUAGUAUAAGGUGGAGUAAUGCACGAAUGGAUAAAAAGGAGUGAGAGGUUAUCAGCUGUUGAGGAGCAAAUGGAGAUCCGUGUCCAGGGGAGUGAGGCUAUUGCGAGUGUGAAAGGUUGUCCAGGAAGUAACUAAGAAGACAUGAACAGAGAGGUGGUGAUCCUCGGUGGAGUGAUGAAGUAGAGCAGCCAGCACCCCAAGUAGAGCAGGCACUGUGGAAAAAUAGUU